AGAGUUUGAUCCUGGCUCAGGAUGAACGCUGGCGGCGUGCCUAAUACAUGCAAGUCGAACGAAACUUCUUUAUCACCGAGUGCUUGCACUCACCGAUAAAGAGUUGAGUGGCGAACGGGUGAGUAACACGUGGGCAACCUGCCCAAAAGAGGGGGAUAACACUUGGAAACAGGUGCUAAUACCGCAUAACCAUAGUUACCGCAUGGUAACUAUGCAAAAGGUGGCUAUGCUACCGCUUUUGGAUGGGCCCGCGGCGCAUUAGCUAGUUGGUGGGGUAAAGGCUUACCAAGGCAAUGAUGCGUAGCCGAACUGAGAGGUUGAUCGGCCACAUUGGGACUGAGACACGGCCCAAACUCCUACGGGAGGCAGCAGUAGGGAAUCUUCCACAAUGGGCGAAAGCCUGAUGGAGCAACGCCGCGUGGGUGAAGAAGGUCUUCGGAUCGUAAAACCCUGUUGUUAGAGAAGAAAGUGCGUGAGAGUAACUGUUCACGUUUCGACGGUAUCUAACCAGAAAGCCACGGCUAACUACGUGCCAGCAGCCGCGGUAAUACGUAGGUGGCAAGCGUUAUCCGGAUUUAUUGGGCGUAAAGGGAACGCAGGCGGUCUUUUAAGUCUGAUGUGAAAGCCUUCGGCUUAACCGGAGUAGUGCAUUGGAAACUGGGAGACUUGAGUGCAGAAGAGGAGAGUGGAACUCCAUGUGUAGCGGUGAAAUGCGUAGAUAUAUGGAAGAACACCCAGUGGCGAAAGCGGCUCUCUGGUCUGUAACUGACGCUGAGGUUCGAAAGCGUGGGUAGCAAACAGGAUUAGAUACCCUGGUAGUCCACGCCGUAAACGAUGAAUGCUAAGUGUUGGAGGGUUUCCGCCCUUCAGUGCUGCAGCUAACGCAAUAAGCAUUCCGCCUGGGGAGUACGACCGCAAGGUUGAAACUCAAAGGAAUUGACGGGGGCCCGCACAAGCGGUGGAGCAUGUGGUUUAAUUCGAAGCAACGCGAAGAACCUUACCAGGUCUUGACAUCCCGCUGGCAGGAUAGUAAUGUAUCCGUCCCUUCGGGGCAGUGGAGACAGGUGGUGCAUGGUUGUCGUCAGCUCGUGUCGUGAGAUGUUGGGUUAAGUCCCGCAACGAGCGCAACCCUUACCUUCAGUAGCCAGCACGUAAUGGUGGGCACUCUGGAGGGACUGCCGGGGACAACCCGGAGGAAGGUGGGGACGACGUCAAAUCAUCAUGCCCCUUAUGGCCUGGGCUACACACGUGCUACAAUGGCGUAAACAGAGGGAGGCAGCCCCGCGAGGGUGAGCAAACCCCAAAAAUAACGUCCCAGUUCGGAUUGCAGUCUGCAACUCGACUGCAUGAAGCUGGAAUCGCUAGUAAUCGCGGAUCAGAAUGCCGCGGUGAAUACGUUCCCGGGUCUUGCACACACCGCCCGUCA
rnacentral:rRNA from 1 species